CUCUUCAUCCUUCUUCUUUUUUGCACUGUCCCAGAACUGCUGUUUUAGGGGUUUUGGCAGGCUGUCUGGCAACUGAGAAACAACUAUGGUCUGAUCCAGGAUCUUAAGAUAUCGCUGUACUUCAGCACAGAGGUACUCACUUUGGAAGACAGAGAACUAACUAUUAAUUAUCUGCGAAGACACUGCCAUCAUCUGGUAUGAAAGCUUUCCACUUGCAGAGAGCAACUUGUUGCACUAUGUUGGACAGAGCACUUGAUUACUCUGGGUGCUCAAACAAGUUAAUCAGACUACCUUGUCAGUCUGGUCCUUGAUCUACUACCACCAGUUUGAUAAUAAACUUGCAGAAUUUUGAAAGAAAACAUUUAAAACUUUGUUCCUCCUCAGAGUAUAGGACUAGAAGGCAUAUGAAGAGGUCAUUUGCUCAACCUUAGUGGAACUGAUCCUUUCAGAGCAUUAGUUUUAUUUCUGCAAGGUUCUGCUUCUGCAAGGUUGGGCUCUUGCAUCCCAACAUACAUUAGAAGGGUACACAACUUUCCAACUAAAUGCACCCUUUGCUCUGAAGUGUUGAUGUUCCCAGGCUUGACAGCAAGGCUCCCAGCUUGGUCUCCUCUACUCUCCUCCCUCUGCCUUUUCUGAGUCCAGGUCUCUUCUCAUCUGUCCCACUCAAAUGACUGUCUCAUUUUUUUGCCAAAUAUGCCAGCAGUGGAAGCCUGUUUCUGUGGCUAUUCCCCAUGCUGUUCUGCUUGCUUUGAUCCCAGCCCUUACAUAAGCAAACCUCCUGCAUUUUGCUGUGUUGUCACACAGUAACCAGACAAGUGGUCACAACUAAGUUACCUAAAUUGGUUACCUAAUGCCUCACCUGAGGCGUCUUAGAUUUUGAAUCAUCAAGCCUCUACAGUACAUUCACCUUUGUUUACCAUGUUUGCUAAAUAUUUAGUAUCUUGUCUUGCAAACAAACUGCAGAAUUACUUGUUAUCUGGGGGCUAUUUUGUUUCUAUAGUUUCUAUUCUAACUAAGAUUGUUGGUUGCCAAACUAAUAUUCAUAUACAUGUAUCUCUAUGUGAAUAUAUUUAUUAGUUUGGCAACAGAAAGUCUGUUUGUUAAACAUAAAUCCUGAGUACAAUUUACUGGUGUUGCACGUACUUAGUGUAUCAUAUUUCUGUAUCGUUUUGCUAUUAUGCUUUAAAACCUUUGACAAUCAGGGAAAAACAAACAAAUAACAAAAACAAACAAACAAAAACACACAAAAAAGUGAGAGAGCAUCUUGCUUCAUUUGUACAAAUGGUAUCCUUUGCUGCUUGCUUGACUUGAGGACCGCUGUAAAAGUUAUAACUAAUUGAUUUUUUUUUUUUUUUUUUGAAUAAGGUUAAAAAAAACUGUGCUUUUUUUUUUUUUUUAACAGGCUUUUGCUUUUAUUGAAGGGAUGAAGGUAACAAAUUAUCUUCUUUGGAAGACAGGCUACCAAAUUCUUAAUUCCCCCAUCAUUAUUUUGCUCAGGAGCUAGAAUACUGUUUUCAAGCAGCAUAAAUCAGCUUUAUGUCACACUGAUAUGCGUGUUUGAUUUUCUCCUGUUGCUGUAUAUUGUAUGAUUGCUGCAGUUCACCUGUUUGACAAAGGACUGUGUCCUGAAGCUACAGUUUUCAGUUGAUCUAACAAAAAACUAGAGUAUGAAAGUAAGUUUAAGAACCUCUUUUGAAAGACAUUAGUGUGAUCAUCAUUGUACCUAGUAUAUCUCUGUAGCUGAGAAAAUAACAUAGAGCUGAUGUUGCUGAUUAAAUGCUUUCUAUUAAUGACACAAGUAAUUUGAAAUGGAAAUCUUGCAACUGUCUUCUGUAAAGUCUGUAUAAAUGUCUGCACUGUAGAGUAGUGCCUGCAUCUUUAUGUAGAAUCUCUUCCAGGGAUGAGGCAUCCACAGCUCCUCUGGGAAGCCUGUUCCAGUGCCUCAUGGCACUGGUGAAGAGUUUCUUCUUUGUAUCUAAAUCUGUUCUCUUUCAGUUUAAAGCCAUUACCCUUUGUCCUAUUGAUACAUGCUCUUGUAAAAAGUCCCUCUCUAGCUUUCAUGUAGGCCCCCUUUAGGUACUGUCAGGCUGCUAUCAGGUCUCCCCAGAGCCUUCUCUUCUCCAGGCUCAACCACCUCAACUCCCUCAGCCUGUCUUCGUAGGAGAGGUGCUCCAGCCCUUUGAUCGUCUUUGUGGCCGCCUCUGGACUUGCUCCAACAGUCCUUAUGUUGGAGGUGCCAGAGCCAGGUGGGGUCUCACGAGAGCGGAGUAGAAGGAGAGAAUCACCUCCCUUGACCUGCUGGCCAUGCUUCUUUUGAUGCAGCCCAGGAUACAGUUGUCUUUCUGGGCUGCAAGCGUACAUUACCAUCUCAUGUUGAGUUCCUCAUCAACCAACACCCCCAAGUCUUCUUCCUCAAGGCUGCUCUCAAUCUG